rnacentral:tRNA from 1 species
GCUUGGGUAGCUUAGUUGGUUAAGCGGCCGACUUCAGCUCAGGUCAUGAUCUCACAGCUCGUGAGUUCGAGUCCCACAUCGGGCU